GGAAAGGUGGCUCAGUUGUAGAGUGCUUGCCUUGCAAGCAUGAGGCCCUGGGUUCGAUUCCUCAGUACUA
rnacentral:tRNA from 1 species